UACAGAGGUCCCAAGCGUUGUUCGGAUUCAUUGGGCGUAAAGGGUGUGUAGGUGGCGCCGUAAGUCGGGUGUGAAAUCUCGGGGCUUAACUCCGAAACUGCAUUCGAUACUGCGGUGCUUGAGGACUGGAGAGGAGACUGGAAUUCAUGGUGUAGCAGUGAAAUGCGUAGAGAUCAUGAGGAAGACCAGUGGCGAAGGCGGGUCUCGUGGACAGUUCCUGACACUGAGACACGAAGGCCAGGGGAGCAAACGGG
rnacentral:rRNA from 1 species